UACGGGGGGGGCAAGCGUUGUUCGGAAUUACUGGGCGUAAAGGGCUCGUAGGCGGCCAACUAAGUCGGACGUGAAAUCCCUCGGCUUAACUGGGGAACUGCGUCCGAUACUGGAUGGCUUGAGUUCGGGAGAGGGAUGUGGAAUUCCAGGUGUAGCGGUGAAAUGCGUAGAUAUCUGGAGGAACACCGGUGGCGAAGGCGGCAUCCUGGACCGACACUGACGCUGAUGAGCCGAAAGCUAGGGGAGCAAACGGGG
rnacentral:rRNA from 1 species